UACGAAGGGGGCUAGCGUUGCUCGGAAUCACUGGGCGUAAAGCGCACGUAGGCGGAUUGUUAAGUCGGGGGUGAAAUCCUGGAGCUCAACUCCAGAACUGCCUUCGAUACUGGCGAUCUUGAGUCCGGGAGGGGAUGGUGGAAUUCCCAGUGUAGCGGUGAAAUGCGUAGAUAUUGGGAAGAACACCGGUGGCGAAGGCGGCCAUCUGGACCGGAACUGACGCUGAGGCGCGAAAGCCAGGGGAGCGGAAUGGG
rnacentral:rRNA from 1 species